AGCGAACGCUGGCGGUAGGCCUAACACAUGCAAGUCGAACGGCAGCACCGUAAGAGCUUGCUCUUACGGGUGGCGAGUGGCGGACGGGUGAGGAAUACAUCGGAAUCUACUUUUUCGUGGGGGAUAACGUAGGGAAACUUACGCUAAUACCGCAUACGACCUACGGGUGAAAGCAGGGGAUCUUCGGACCUUGCGCGAUUGAAUGAGCCGAUGUCGGAUUAGCUAGUUGGCGGGGUAAAGGCCCACCAAGGCGACGAUCCGUAGCUGGUCUGGGAGGAUGAUCAGCCACACUGGAACUGAGACACGGUCCAGACUCCUACGGGAGGCAGCAGUGGGGAAUAUUGGACAAUGGGCGCAAGCCUGAUCCAGCCAUACCGCGUGGGUGAAGAAGGCCUUCGGGUUGUAAAGCCCUUUUGUUGGGAAAGAAAAGCAGCAGGUUAAUACCCCGCUGUUCUGACGGUACCCAAAGAAUAAGCACCGGCUAACUUCGUG
rnacentral:rRNA from 1 species